rnacentral:rRNA from 1 species
GACGAACGCUGGCGGCGUGCUUAACACAUGCAAGUCGAACGGAAAGGCCCUGCUUUUGUGGGGUGCUCGAGUGGCGAACGGGUGAGUAACACGUGAGUAACCUGCCCUUGACUUUGGGAUAACUUCAGGAAACUGGGGUUAAUACCGCAUAGGAGCUCCUGCUGCAUGGUGGGGGUUGGAUAGUUUCGGCGGUUGGGGAUGGACUCGCGGCUUAUCAGCUUGUUGGUGGGGUAGUGGCUUACCAAGGCUUUGACGGGUAGCCGGCCUGAGAGGGUGACCGGCCACAGUGGGACUGGGAUACGGCCCAGACGCCAACGGGAGGCAGCAGUGGGGAAUAGUGCACAAUGGGCGGAGGCCAGAAGCAGCAACGCCGCGUGCGGGAGGACGGCCUUCGGGUUGUAAACCGCUUUCGCCUGUGACGAAGCGUGAGUGACGGUAAUGGGGAAAGAAGCACCGGCUAACUACGU